rnacentral:rRNA from 1 species
AGCAGCCGCCGCGGUAAUACAGAGGGUGCAAGCGUUAAUCGGAAUUACUGGGCGUAAAGCGCGCGUAGGUGGUUUGUUAAGUUGGAUGUGAAAUCCCCGGGCUCAACCUGGGAACUGCAUCCAAAACUGGCAAGCUAGAGUAUGGUAGAGGGUGGUGGAAUUUCCUGUGUAGCGGUGAAAUGCGUAGAUAUAGGAAGGAACACCAGUGGCGAAGGCGACCACCUGGACUGAUACUGACACUGAGGUGCGAAAGCGUGGGGAGCAAACAGGAUUAGAUACCCCGGUAGUCCCUGUCUCUUAUAC